UUCCUACGGGAGGCAGCAGUGGGGAAUAUUGGACAAUGGGCGAAAGCCUGAUCCAGCCAUGCCGCGUGUGUGAAGAAGGCCUUUUGGUUGUAAAGCACUUUAAGCGAGGAGGAGGCUACUUGGAUUAAUACUCUAGGAUAGUGGACGUUACUCGCAGAAUAAGCACCGGCUAACUCUGUGCCAGCAGCCGCGGUAAUACAGAGGGUGCGAGCGUUAAUCGGAUUUACUGGGCGUAAAGCGUGCGUAGGCGGCUUUUUAAGUCGGAUGUGAAAUCCCUGAGCUUAACUUAGGAAUUGCAUUCGAUACUGGGAAGCUAGAGUAUGGGAGAGGAUGGUAGAAUUCCAGGUGUAGCGGUGAAAUGCGUAGAGAUCUGGAGGAAUACCGAUGGCGAAGGCAGCCAUCUGGCCUAAUACUGACGCUGAGGUACGAAAGCAUGGGGAGCAAACAGGAUUAGAUACCCUGGUAGUCCAUGCCGUAAACGAUGUCUACUAGCCGUUGGGGCCUUUGAGGCUUUAGUGGCGCAGCUAACGCGAUAAGUAGGCCGCCUGGGGAGUACGGUCGCAAGACUAAAACUCAA
rnacentral:rRNA from 1 species